rnacentral:rRNA from 1 species
AGCGAACGCUGGCGGCAUGCUUAACACAUGCAAGUCGAGCGGGCCCUUCGGGGUCAGCGGCCGCCGGGUUUGUAACGCGUCGGAACGUGCCCUUCGGUUCGGAAUAACUCAGGGAAACUUGAGAUAAUACCGGAUACGCCCUUAUGGGGAAAGGUUUUCUGCCGAAGGAUCGGCCCGCGUCUGAUUAGCUAGUUGGUGAGGUUAUGGCUCACCAAGGCGACGAUCAGUAGCUGGUCUGAGAGAAUGAUCAGCAACACUGGGACUGAGAAACGGCCCAGACUCCUACGGGAGGCAGGAGUGGGGAAUAUUGGAAAAUGGGGGCAAUCAUGAUCGAGUCAGGACGCGUGAGUGAUGACGGCCUGAGGGUUGUAAAGCUCUUUUCACCGGGAAGAUAAUGACGGUACCGGAGGAAUAAGCCCCGGCUAACUUCGUG